rnacentral:rRNA from 1 species
UACGUAGGGGGCAAGCGUUGUCCGGAUUUAUUGGGCGUAAAGAGCGUGUAGGCGGUUUGGUAGGUCCGCUGUGAAAACUCGAGGCUCAACCUCGAGACGCCGGUGGAAACCAUCAGGCUAGAGUCCGGAAGAGGAGAGUGGAAUUCCUGGUGUAGCGGUGAAAUGCGCAGAUAUCAGGAAGAACACCCGUGGCGAAGGCGGCCUUCUGGGUCCGCCCUGACGCUGAGGCGCGAAAGCGUGGGGAGCGAACGGG